AAGCUGUCAGCAAAAUUUCUACUACAGAUAUGACAUGCGAGAGGAAAGCUUUUCAUAGUAAUCCACAUCCCAGCCACAGACGUUUGAUUAAGACUAGAGCAGAUAAAGGAUGCACACAGCACACAAGCUGUCAAAGGCAGCUACCCACAAAGCAAUCAACUGACUCUGAGAGGAAACAACAUCCUUGUCAAGACAAAAAAUAUUUCCGUUCAAGGCUGGGGGAUGGAGACAAUCACAAUAUAUCAAAGGUGUUACCUCUUGAAAUGCAGGAUGAACAGCCAUGUAAUGAAGAGCUUCAAUUUGUCAAAUCUGAAGCAGAUAGUGAAUCAGAAGUCAUUUGGAUUCUGUCAUCUGAUAGUGAAAAUGAAGAAGAGUCAAAGAAUAAAGUAUUUUAUUU
rnacentral:lncRNA from 1 species